rnacentral:rRNA from 1 species
UACGGAGGGAGCUAGCGUUGUUCGGAAUUACUGGGCGUAAAGCGCACGUAGGCGGCUUUGUAAGUUAGAGGUGAAAGCCCAGUGCUCAACACUGGAACUGCCUUUAAAACUGCAUCGCUUGAAUCCAGGAGAGGUGAGUGGAAUUCCGAGUGUAGAGGUGAAAUUCGUAGAUAUUCGGAAGAACACCAGUGGCGAAGGCGGCUCACUGGACUGGUAUUGACGCUGAGGUGCGAAAGGCGUGGGGGAGCAAACAGGG